CCUACGGGAGGCAGCAGUAGGGAAUAUUGCUCAAUGGGGGAAACGCUGAAGCAGCAACGCCGCGUGGGGGAUGAAGGUUUUCGGAUUGGAAACUCCUUUUGUUAGAGAAGAUAAUGACGGUAUCUAACGAAUAAGCACCGGCUAAAUCCGUGCCAGAAGCCACGGUAAUACGGCGGGUGCAAGCGUUACACGGAAUCACUGGGCGUAAAGAGCGAGUAGGCGGGGUAGCAAGUCAGAGGUGAAAGUCUAUGGAUUAAACAUAGAACUGCAUUUGAAACUGUUAUUCUAGAGUAUGGGAGAGGUAGGUGGAAUUCUUGGUGUAGGGGUAAAAUCCGUAGAGAUCAAGAGGAAUUCUCAUUGCGAAGGCGACCUGCUAGAACAUAACUGACGCUGAUGCGCGAAAGCGUGGGGAGCAAACAGGAUUAGAUACCCUAGUAGUC
rnacentral:rRNA from 1 species